rnacentral:rRNA from 1 species
AGAGUUUGAUCAUGGCUCAGAUUGAACGCUGGCGGCAGGCCUAACACAUGCAAGUCGAACGGUAACAGGAAGAAGCUUGCUUCUUUGCUGACGAGUGGCGGACGGGUGAGUAAUGUCUGGGAAACUGCCUGAUGGAGGGGGAUAACUACUGGAAACGGUAGCUAAUACCGCAUAACGUCGCAAGACCAAAGAGGGGGACCUUCGGGCCUCUUGCCAUCGGAUGUGCCCAGAUGGGAUUAGCUAGUAGGUGGGGUAACGGCUCACCUAGGCGACGAUCCCUAGCUGGUCUGAGAGGAUGACCAGCCACACUGGAACUGAGACACGGUCCAGACUCCUACGGGAGGCAGCAGUGGGGAAUAUUGCACAAUGGGCGCAAGCCUGAUGCAGCCAUGCCGCGUGUAUGAAGAAGGCCUUCGGGUUGUAAAGUACUUUCAGCGGGGAGGAAGGGAGUAAAGUUAAUACCUUUGCUCAUUGACGUUACCCGCAGAAGAAGCACCGGCUAACUCCGUGCCAGCAGCCGCGGUAAUACGGAGGGUGCAAGCGUUAAUCGGAAUUACUGGGCGUAAAGCGCACGCAGGCGGUUUGUUAAGUCAGAUGUGAAAUCCCCGGGCUCAACCUGGGAACUGCAUCUGAUACUGGCAAGCUUGAGUCUCGUAGAGGGGGGUAGAAUUCCAGGUAUAGCGGUGAAAUGCGUAGAGAUCUGGAGGAAUACCGGUGGCGAAGGCGGCCCCCUGGACGAAGACUGACGCUCAGGUGCGAAAGCGUGGAGAGCAAACAGGAUUAGAUACCCUGGUAGUCCACGCCGUAAACGAUGUCGACUUGGAGGUUGUGCCCUUGAGGCGUGGCUUCCGGAGCUAACGCGUUAAGUCGACCGCCUGGGGAGUACGGCCGCAAGGUUAAAACUCAAAUGAAUUGACGGGGGCCCGCACAAGCGGUGGAGCAUGUGGUUUAAUUCGAUGCAACGCGAAGAACCUUACCUGGUCUUGACAUCCACGGAAGUUUUCAGAGAUGAGAAUGUGCCUUCGGGAACCGUGAGACAGGUGCUGCAUGGCUGUCGUCAGCUCGUGUUGUGAAAUGUUGGGUUAAGUCCCGCAACGAGCGCAACCCUUAUCCUUUGUUGCCAGCGGUCCGGCCGGGAACUCAAAGGAGACUGCCAGUGAUAAACUGGAGGAAGGUGGGGAUGACGUCAAGUCAUCAUGGCCCUUACGACCAGGGCUACACACGUGCUACAAUGGCGCAUACAAAGAGAAGCGACCUCGCGAGAGCAAGCGGACCUCAUAAAGUGCGUCGUAGUCCGGAUUGGAGUCUGCAACUCGACUCCAUGAAGUCGGAAUCGCUAGUAAUCGUGGAUCAGAAUGCCUCGGUGAAUACGUUCCCGGGCCUUGUACACACCGCCCGUCACACCAUGGGAGUGGGUUGCAAAAGAAGUAGGUAGCUUAACCUUCGGGAGGGCGCUUACCACUUUGUGAUUCAUGAC